rnacentral:ncRNA from 1 species
AUGGCCGGGUAAGGCAGAAAUGCUUUACUUUCUUUUCGCUAUAUGCUGGAAUACCUUUAGAGCUCUUAGAACUAGUAAUACAGACUUUCUUUUUUGAAAAGCGGUAUAAUACAGUUACAUUUUAAGAGAUUAGGCAAUCAGCAGGAAACCAAAUCUAGAGGGGCUUUUUAAGCAUUAAACACCUUUAAGUAGUAGGAUCCUCAGAGACUACACGCGAAAUACCUUAUUAAAUAUUAUAUUUAAAGGUAAAGAUAUAGUCCGGCCGUUAAUGAAAAUUAGCG